GAACAAGGGUGUGAGUAAGGGUUGUUACAGCAAGGGGAAAAAAGUGUGUGAAGUUUGUUACAGGAUUCUCAUGCAUGUGGCUGGAUAGAAUAAAGUUGUUAGGAGAGGGUAGUAUAGGAAGUAAUUGGGUAUAAAUAGCUAGGGUGUGGUAAAGGAGGUAUUAAGUUGAUUCCUAUAGGUUUUGUGGUAGGUCUCCAGCUCCUCGAAUUGCUGGAAGUUGUUCUGGGAUCACUCUUCUUGCUACUGAUAUUUUUCUUUCUGUUUCAAUAUUAACUUUCAGCUUAAUUCCUUUGAGUGUUAUUUCCUUUCAGGUCUUGUGUGUGUGUGUUGGAAUUGAGUUAUUUGAGCAGGUGGUUCCAUCAAGGACUGUGUGUGAAGAACUUGGUUCAAUUGCGGCAAUUUAUGGAAAAGUAAGUAACUUGGAAUUUGGUUAAGAAAGAGUGAUGGAGUUGUUACAUUGAGUUGGAUUCCCAUCAUCAUUAGCUAUGCAGCUUUCUAACUGCCUGACCAGACAUUACUAGGAACGUAAUCAUAACCAUAAACACAACAUAUUAUUAUUUAAUUAUUUUAAUAGCGGGGUUCAAAUAUAAGAUUGGCUUGGGUACCAUUUAGAUAACAGUUUAACCCAAAAGAUUAAGUUUAUAGGUAAAGGUUGUUUUUACUGAUUCAUAUAAAGUUGUUGGUGCUGUCUUUCUUGAGUCCUCUAUGAAGACACUAAGGUCCAAUAUAGUCUGGGAGUUUUAGAAUUAGAAAUGGGGAGGAAUCAAUCUUUUUAGUGGCUAGAUCUCCAGUGUCUGAGCGUUCUUUGCACUUCCCAGUUGCUAAACAUUCAUCUAGGUUAUUCAUUAAUUAACCAUAACUACAGACGACAACAAUAAAUACAACAAUUUUUGCAUACACAACAUGCUAUGAUUUAAUUAACACAAUAAGUGGAAUUGAACAUAGGAGCACUUGGUCAACAUAGCUCUAAUACUAUGUUAGUUAACCACUUAACCUAAAUACUUAAUAGUUAAAGGCCCAACAGAGUAUUUCAGCUCAAAUAUAAAUCAAGCUUAAAUUCGGCUUAGACAUUUGACUUGGCUUUAUUUGCAUAUUCGACCUUGGUUCAAUUCUGUCUGUUUGAGUUAGGAUACUAAGAAUGAAGCACCCAUAAUUGUAACAAUAUACUAUGGAAAACUGGUUGAUUGUUGCCUCAUAAUGCUAGUUCAUGGUUAGGAGAAAGCCAAUAACUAGGUUAUUAUAACCUGAUGAUGAUGAUUCCAAGCAUCACUUGCAGUUAUAUUUUCUCCUUGUAAGUUCUUUUUUAUAUUUUUCUUUACAUUUGUAUGAAUUGUUUUAAUAACAUAUAAAAUUCACCUUUGAUCUGUGAACAAAAUGAGUUUGGGAUCUGGGAGAUCUUUUUGCCUAACAAUGCUGAUGGGUCACCACCAAUUCCCCAUGGUUCUCGUGUGAAGAUUCGAAUGGAGACACCAUCUGGCAUUAAAGAUUCCAUACCUGCUUGGAUCAAUUUCUCUGUACAAGCUCUAGGUGAAAUCCCGUACAGUGGUGUAUACUAUGAUCCACCAGAAGAGGAAAAGUAUGAGUUUCAACAUCCUCAACCUAAGAGGCCGAAAUCACUUGGAAUUUGUGAGGCACAUGUUGGAAUGAGUAGCACAGUGUGCAUCUCCUUCAUUCUCCUAACUAUUAUUCAAUGCUUCUAGCGCUUGCUAUAUGUUAGCUUUGAGUCCUCAAUGUCAAAACUGCUGGAUCUUGUUUCUUGAUGUAUAACUGAAUGCUACAAUAUGUAGGAUCGCAUCUUAAAAAGCAUGUUAAGCUUGUGUUAGAAGUUUGCAAGUAAAAUGGUUUUGUGGUGAU